AUCCUUUCGCAGAGAGCAAUUUCAUAGUCUGGAAGGUGUAUCUGAGAGCGUGAUUAUUACUGGUUGAAAACUUAGCUCCAAUAUCCCGCCUGGAUGACUUGAAAUACAGUCAGCUGUGGCAAUUUUUUGUUGUGUCUUUCAGGAGA